rnacentral:rRNA from 1 species
ACCGGCCACAUUGGGACUGAGAUACGGCCCAGACUCCUACGGGAGGCAGCAGUGGGGAAUAUUGCACAAUGGGCGCAAGCCUGAUGCAGCGACGCCGCGUGCGGGAUGACGGCCUUCGGGUUGUAAACCGCUUUUGACUGGGAGCAAGCCCUUCGGGGUGAGUGUACCUUUCGAAUAAGCACCGGCUAACUACGUGCCAGCAGCCGCGGUAAUACGUAGGGUGCAAGCGUUAUCCGGAAUUAUUGGGCGUAAAGGGCUCGUAGGCGGUUCGUCGCGUCCGGUGUGAAAGUCCAUCGCUUAACGGUGGAUCCGCGCCGGGUACGGGCGGGCUUGAGUGCGGUAGGGGAGACUGGAAUUCCCGGUGUAACGGUGGAAUGUGUAGAUAUCGGGAAGAACACCAAUGGCGAAGGCAGGUCUCUGGGCCGUUACUGACGCUGAGGAGCGAAAGCGUGGGGAGCGAACAGGAUUAGAUACCCUGGUAGUCCACGCCGUAAACGGUGGAUGCUGGAUGUGGGGACCAUUCCACGGUCUCCGUGUCGGAGCCAACGCGUUAAGCAUCCCGCCUGGGGAGUACGGCCGCAAGGCUAAAACUCAAAGAAAUUGACGGGGGCCCGCACAAGCGGCGGAGCAUGCGGAUUAAUUCGAUGCAACGCGAAGAACCUUACCUGGGCUUGACAUGUUCCCGACAGCCGUAGAGAUACGGUCUCCCUUCGGGGCGGGUUCACAGGUGGUGCAUGGUCGUCGUCAGCUCGUGUCGUGAGAUGUUGGGUUAAGUCCCGCAACGAGCGCAACCCUCGCCCCGUGUUGCCAGCGGAUUAUGCCGGGAACUCACGGGGGACCGCCGGGGUUAACUCGGAGGAAGGUGGGGAUGACGUCAGAUCAUCAUGCCCCUUACGUCCAGGGCUUCACGCAUGCUACAAUGGCCGGUACAACGGGAUGCGACACCGCGAGGUGGAGCGGAUCCCUUAAAACCGGUCUCAGUUCGGAUUGGAGUCUGCAACCCGACUCCAUGAAGGCGGAGUCGCUAGUAAUCGCGGAUCAGCAACGCCGCGGUGAAUGCGUUCCCGGGCCUUGUACACACCGCCCGUCAAGUCAUGAAAGUGGGUAGCACCCGAAGCCGGUGGCCCAACCUUUUUGGGGGGAGCCGUCUAAGGUGAGACUCGUGAUUGGGACUAAGUCGUAACAAGUUAGCCGUACCGGAAGGUGCGGCUG